rnacentral:tRNA from 1 species
GUCAUAGCUCAGUUGGUAGAGCACUCGAUUCGUAAUCGAGCGGUCGUAGGUCCGAUUCCUAUUGACGG